UGGGGAAUAUUGGACAAUGGGCGCAAGCCUGAUCCAGCCAUGCCGCGUGUGUGAAGAAGGCCUUUUGGUUGUAAAGCACUUUAAGCGAGGAGGAGGCUACUUGGAUUAAUACUCUAGGAUAGUGGACGUUACUCGCAGAAUAAGCACCGGCUAACUCUGUGCCAGCAGCCGCGGUAAUACAGAGGGUGCGAGCGUUAAUCGGAUUUACUGGGCGUAAAGCGUGCGUAGGCGGCUUUUUAAGUCGGAUGUGAAAUCCCUGAGCUUAACUUAGGAAUUGCAUUCGAUACUGGGAAGCUAGAGUAUGGGAGAGGAUGGUAGAAUUCCAGGUGUAACGGUGAAAUGCGUAGAGAUCUGGAGGAAUACCGAUGGCGAAGGCAGCCAUCUGGCCUAAUACUGACGCUGAGGUACGAAAGCAUGGGGAGCAAACAGG
rnacentral:rRNA from 1 species